rnacentral:rRNA from 1 species
UACGAAGGGGGCUAGCGUUGUUCGGAAUUACUGGGCGUAAAGCGCGCGCAGGCGGCCAUUCAAGUCAGGGGUGAAAGCCCAGAGCUCAACUCUGGAACUGCCUUUGAAACUGUAUGGCUUGAGUAUGAGAGAGGUGAGUGGAAUUCCCAGUGUAGAGGUGAAAUUCGUAGAUAUUCGGAAGAACACCAGUGGCGAAGGCGGCUCACUGGACUGGUAUUGACGCUGAGGUGCGAUAGCGUGGGGAGCAAACAGG